rnacentral:rRNA from 1 species
UACAUGGGGUGCAAACGUUGCUCGGAAUCAUUGGGCGUAAAGCGCACGUAGGCGGUUUGUUAAGUCGGGUGUGAAAGCCCUGGGCUCAACCCAGGAAGUGCACUCGAAACUAGCAGGCUUGAGUAUGGAAGAGGGUCGCGGAAUUCCCGGUGUAGAGGUGAAAUUCGUAGAUAUCGGGAGGAACACCAGUGGCGAAGGCGGCGACCUGGGCCAAUACUGACGCUGAGGUGCGAAAGCGUGGGGAGCAAACAGG